rnacentral:pre_miRNA from 1 species
GUCCUUCGCCGGAUCUGUUCGCCUUCUCCUUCGCGAACCAUCGGUCUCCUUCGCCGGAUCUGGUUCGCGAAGGAGAAGGCGAACAGAUCCGGCGAAGGAC